rnacentral:rRNA from 1 species
GACGUAGGUGGCGAACGUUAUCCGGAAUUAUUGGGCGUAAAGGGUGCGUAGGCGGCAAUGAUAAGUUAUUGGCGGCAAAUCGAGGCUCAACCUCGUGGAAACUGAUAAUACUGUCUUGCUUGAGUGCAGAAGAGGUUAACGGAACUCCAUGUGGAGCGGUAAAAUGUGUAGAUAUAUGGAAGAACAUCAAUAACGGCUGAAGGCAGUUAACUAUUCUGUU